rnacentral:rRNA from 1 species
AGCGAACGCUGGCGGCAGGCCUAAUACAUGCAAGUCGAGCGCACCUUCGGGUGAGCGGCGGACGGGUGAGUAACGCGUGGGAACGUGCCCUUUGGUACGGAACAACUGAGGGAAACUUCAGCUAAUACCGUAUGUGCCCUUCGGGGAAAGAUUUAUCGCCAUUGGAGCGGCCCGCGUUGGAUUAGGUAGUUGGUGAGGUAAAGGCUCACCAAGCCUACGAUCCAUAGCUGGUCU